rnacentral:tRNA from 1 species
GAUUUGGUAGUUUAUUUAAAACGUGAGGUUGCAAUUCUCAAGUAGCCGUGGGGCUCAAAUCU